GGGCUUUGGAGGGCUGAGGGACUAUGGAAGGGCUGCGAGGUGUUUUUAGGGUGGGGCUAUGGAGGGCUGAGGGACUAUGGAAGGGCUGCGAGGUGUUUUUAGGGUGGGGCUUUGAAGGGCUGAGGGAGUUAUUUCUCCCAAACCCGCAAGGGGCCGAUGCACUUUAGGCUCCCAUAAUACGGCGGGCUGGGAGUGUAACUUCCCUUAACGGCCCCAUUUCUCAGCCCGAAACGGGCCCGUUUAACUCUUGCAGGCUGGGUUUACUUUGAGUGCUUGGGUGUAGCGUUUAAAGUAAGUACAAGCCUAGUGGAACAAUUUUUCUUUAGGUUUAGGUUAAGUUAAUUUAAUGUAAACCCCCCCCCCCAAAAAAAAAAAAUAUGCAUGCCUAGACACAUUAAUUAAAACUUUUUUUAAUUAUUUGCAGCAUGACAACACAGAAGCAAGUUCCAGCUACAAUUUCAGUGAUGAUACAAACAGUACGUACAAUACAGAACAUUUUUUUAACUUUUUAAAGGAAAUUUUCAGAAUGCCUGUAUUGAUGACAUAAAUUAUUAAGUCUUUUUGCAUCUUUUUUUUUUCAGCCAUGAGACUUUCAAGAGACAUUAGAACGUCUAACACCAGAUGGCUGGCAGCUGAAGCCUUAAGUUACAACUUUAUGUUCUCAACAGGAAGGCUACAGGAAGACGACUUUAAUAUUUUAUACCAUGAAUUAAACAAUCACAUUAAGCAAUAUGUGGAGUCGAAGGAGCCUCACAAUCAAUAAAUUGAAGUAAGUAAUAAAUAAAAUAAAGUAAUUUUUUCACGAUAAAGGUGAAAACAAAGUCAUCAUGCACAGCAUAUCCUUGUGUUCUUUUGUCACUGAUUCAGUGUUUUUAUUGCCAAAACUGACACCACAAAGAGAGUGAUAGCAUAUCUAACCAUACACUGAAAACCACUGACAUUUCAUCAAUACAUGAAAGAUGUUGCUACUCAUAACGAGAUAAUUGUUACUACAGAGCAGGCUCUUUUAGUCAAAAUGCUUCUUUGAUAGAAAUAGUGGGGCAGGCAGGUAGAAAUUGUGGUGCUAGUUAUGUAGGGCAAAGGUUGGGAUACUGAGAGCAUACUUGAUUGUUUUUGUUUUGUUUUUGCAAGUCAAUAUGUUUUCCUGUUUGGGUUGCAUAUGACCCUGAAGUAGACUGUAGUUUCAUGUACAAAUGUAUUACAAUGAAACAUUUGUAUUUGACUUUUAACCAUCACAAUUUCCCUUUGUGCACAGCAGCAGCCUGGGGAUAUUAUAUCUGCCACUGCUUACAAAUAGUUUGGAAGUAACAGGCAAGAAUGGAGGAACAAGUCCAAGGACAAAGCCAUCUGAUGGUCAGUGAAAUAAGAAAUCAAAGAAAAUAACCAUGCAUGUGUUUAAUUUAUCAAUGUAAGCAUGGCUUUAUCAUUCAUGAUUUGUUUAUGAAGAAAGUUAACCCUGCCUAUUACCCUGUUCUGGGUAAUCUCUGCAUGUUGUACACCUGUUUACAAGUGCAACUGCUUUGAUGUGAUAUGGUUCUAGUGAUUCUACCUCUUAUUAGUUUUCCUUUCUAAUCCACAAAUAGUAAUCAACACUAGAAGCAAGCCUACAUGAAUCUAUUUACAUAAGUGGUGUUGGCCAUCAACUUCCUGUUGCCUCCUAGCUGCUUUAAAGCUCAUAAAUAGUAAGAAACAGAAAUACGUUUUACUUCAACUGAAUGGCACAUCGGUAAGAAGUGAAUAAAUUGAAAUGCCUUGUUUUUGCUUAUCAUUAAAGGACUAAUAUUUUGAUUGCAGAUGGGUCAUGCUGUUGAGGAGCACAGAGAAAUGUUUCGAAGCUUGCUCCACAUAUGAAUUAAGUUACGAAAUGUAGGUGAACAAGGAAUGACUCCAGCAGCAAUCCCAUGUUUCAGCAUGACAACACAGAAGCAAGUUCCAGCUACAAUUUCAGUGAUGAUACAAACACCAUGAGACUUUCAAGAGACAUUAGAACGUCUAACACCAGAUGGCUGGCAGCUGAAGCCUUAAGUUACAACUUUAUGUUCUCAACAGGAAGGCUACAGGAAGACGACUUUAAUAUUUUAUACCAUGAAUUAAACAAUCACAUUAAGCAAUAUGUGGAGUCGAAGGAGCCUCACAAUCAAUAAAUUGAAGUAAGUAAUAAAUAAAAUAAAGUAAUUUUUUCACGAUAAAGGUGAAAACAAAGUCAUCAUGCACAGCAUAUCCUUGUGUUCUUUUGUCACUGAUUCAGUGUUUUUAUUGCCAAAACUGACACCACAAAGAGAGUGAUAGCAUAUCUAACCAUACACUGAAAACCACUGACAUUUCAUCAAUACAUGAAAGAUGUUGCUACUCAUAACGAGAUAAUUGUUACUACAGAGCAGGCUCUUUUAGUCAAAAUGCUUCUUUGAUAGAAAUAGUGGGGCAGGCAGGUAGAAAUUGUGGUGCUAGUUAUGUAGGGCAAAGGUUGGGAUACUGAGAGCAUACUUGAUUGUUUUUGUUUUGUUUUUGCAAGUCAAUAUGUUUUCCUGUUUGGGUUGCAUAUGACCCUGAAGUAGACUGUAGUUUCAUGUACAAAUGUAUUACAAUGAAACAUUUGUAUUUGACUUUUAACCAUCACAAUUUCCCUUUGUGCACAGCAGCAGCCUGGGGAUAUUAUAUCUGCCACUGCUUACAAAUAGUUUGGAAGUAACAGGCAAGAAUGGAGGAACAAGUCCAAGGACAAAGCCAUCUGAUGAUGGGUCAUGCUGUUGAGGAGCACAGAGAAAUGUUUCGAAGCUUGCUCCACAUAUGAAUUAAGUUACGAAAUGUAGGUGAACAAGGAAUGACUCCAGCAGCAAUCCCAUGUUUCAGCAUGACAACACAGAAGCAAGUUCCAGCUACAAUUUCAGUGAUGAUACAAACACCAUGAGACUUUCAAGAGACAUUAGAACGUCUAACACCAGAUGGCUGGCAGCUGAAGCAUUAACUUAUAACUUCAUGUUUACAACAGUCCAAUUACAGGAGGAGGAUUUUAAUAUUCUUGAUCACCAACUGAAUGAUCACAUUAAGCGAUAUGUGGAGGAAAAGGAGGCUCCCUAUCAAUAAAUUGAAGUAAGUUCCAAUUUUUGUUCUACAGAGUGGUUUCUGAAGGAAGUUGUGAUUUGACCUACAGCAAUGAUACGAACAGUACGUACAAUACAGAACAUUUUUUUAACUUUUUAAAGGAAAUUUUCAGAAUGCCUGUAUUGAUGACAUAAAUUAUUAAGUCUUUUUGCAUCUUUUUUUUUUUUUUUUGUUUUUUCAGUCUUUCGACUUUCAAGAGAGAUUAGGACCUCAAAUUCUAGAUGGUUAGCAGCAGAAGCGUUAACACAUUUCUUCAUGUUUACAACAAACAAAUUAAAGGAGGAUGACUUCGAUAUUCUUUUUCAUGAACUUAAUGAUCAUAUCA